rnacentral:tRNA from 1 species
GGGGUUGUGGCUCAAUGGUAGAGCUCUUGCCUCACAUGCAUGAGAAGCUGGGUUUGAUUCUCAGCACCACA